rnacentral:rRNA from 1 species
CAGCAGCCGCGGUAAAACGUAGGUGGCGAGCGUUGUCCGGAUUUAUUGGGCGUAAAGCGAGCGCAGGCGGUUAGAUAAGUCUGAAGUUAAAGGCUGUGGCUUAACCAUAGUACGCUUUGGAAACUGUUUAACUUGAGUGCAGAAGGGGAGAGUGGAAUUCCAUGUGUAGCGGUGAAAUGCGUAGAUAUAUGGAGGAACACCGGUGGCGAAAGCGGCUCUCUGGUCUGUAACUGACGCUGAGGCUCGAAAGCGUGGGGAGCAAACAGGAUUAGAUACCCGCGUAGUCCCUGUCUCUUAUACA